AUAUAAAUAUAUCAGUCGGUACAAACAAUAUAAAACCAUUUAAUUAGUUCGGGCAACUAAAAAUGACCACUAAACAGGCCCGGUGGAAGCCCUGUGCAUUCUGGUCAACAGCACAGGGCCAUCGAAAAUUAAAGGGCCCAUUUUUUUUGAGCCCAAUUUAAGUAUUAAAAAAAAAAAACUAUAGACGUUGUUGCUUCAAUCACGUACGGUUCAAUUCAUCUCCCUUAUCAACGCAGUAAACGCAAUCAAUGUUCAAAGCCUCGUAAUCUUCUCCAAUUACCAAUUACUUUCUUGUUUCCAAAAUAUGUGGAUUUCAAUAAUCUUCCAUCCUUCCAUAUUCUAUUCAAACUUUCCAUUAAACAAUCUCUUCUUCUCAAUCAAUUAACAUUAUUUUCUGUUCAAUGUAUCAAUGGUUGAAUUUAAUCUGUUUCUACCCAAUUAAUCCCCUAGUCUUAUCUAUUUAUUCCCUUCUCUACUAAUUUAUCAAGGAAUGCGUUUUCAAAUUUCAUUUCAAGAAGAAAAAAAAUCAGAUUAUAGAUCUCCUCAAUUCAAUAUUUGCUGGGAAUUGGGAAGGGGUGGGAUUUGGGGAUUUGGGGAUUUUUUGAAGAUCGAAGAAUAAAUCAACAAACUUGAUGAAAUUAUAGAUGAAAUUAUGAAGUUUUUUUUUGGUUCUACUACAAGGAGUUCUCACCGCCUCCGAUGAGUGGACUAAUCUCCAGCGGGAGUUUGCAUGGGUACCUCGAUGAGAAGCAUCCUCCCAGUUGAGAUUUAUUCCAUACCCAAGGCUCGAACCCGAGACCUCAGUUAAGGAGCAAGAGAAUCUUAACCACUCAUUCCAACCUCAAUUGGUUUGGAUUGUGUCGUAGAUACAAAGGGGAAUGGGGCUUUCAUUCGCAAAAGUUGUUAAGUAGGCUCAUUGUAAAGAAAUAGAUGGAAUUUUGAUG